CCGCACACAGAAAUAUACAUGUCCAUUAAAGUCCAAGAGAAAGAACUGCCACAUAUCCAGAUCGGCUGUCAUGGAUGCUGACACCCGAAUGAAAUGAUGCGUGACGCUACCCCGCUGGUCGCCCUGGAGAGAAACCUGUUGAAUACCUGCCCGACAGGCAUCACCCGGCAUGCGAAGUUGAGCCGAUCCACCAAUGACUGAAGCACCAGCAAUGUAACUUUCCUGGUUUCCCGGACCUCCACCACCGCUUGCCGGAGUACCAGCAACUUAUCACCAGGCAACCAACAGUCACCCUAGGAAAGACGAGCAAUUCUGAAGACAUUCGUGACCCAUACCAAAGUUCUCAACUCUAUGCGGCACACCUCUGAGCCUGCCGGCCCAACAUAAAGAAAUCAUCUAAG